rnacentral:rRNA from 1 species
AGAUUGAACGCUGGCGGCAGGCCUAACACAUGCAAGUCGAGCGGCAGCACGGGUACUUGUACCUGGUGGCGAGCGGCGGACGGGUGAGUAAUGCCUAGGAAUCUGCCUGAUAGUGGGGGAUAACGCUCGGAAACGGACGCUAAUACCGCAUACGUCCUACGGGAGAAAGCAGGGGACCUUCGGGCCUUGCGCUAUCAGAUGAGCCUAGGUCGGAUUAGCUAGUUGGUGGGGUAAUGGCUCACCAAGGCGACGAUCCGUAACUGGUCUGAGAGGAUGAUCAGUCACACUGGAACUGAGACACGGUCCAGACUCCGUACGGGAGCAGCAGGUGGGGAAUAGUUGGACAAGUGGG